ACCAGGUAUUCAAUAUCAAUACAAUUUGCAAAAGUCAGCUCUGAAAAGUCACUUGCACUGUGUAAACAAACACCUGCAGAAAGUUAUAAUUUCUAUUUCUACAAGUUUUUUUUAUUGGCAAGAAACUUUUAUUGCCAACUUUAUUAUCCGCAGGUACUAUUGCCAAUGGAAACUGCUAAAAGUCAGUUCAACUCUCAAGUUAGUCACUUCCAGUUUUACGAAUAUCGUAAAACUGUGUAAGUACCUAUAGCUUAUUAGUUACAUACUAUCGUUUAUCAUACGAGUACAUCGGUGCGUAAUUAAUUUUGUCUUCUUUUGAGUUAAGAUGAUGCCCGCGGCUUCGUCCGCGUCGAUUUAGAUUGUUCAAAAUCCCGUGGGAAUUUUUGAUAUUCCGGGAUUUAAAAAAAAUCCGACAAAUUGAGAACCUCCUUUUUUGCAAGUCGGUUAAAAAGUCGCAAACGUCGCAAACCAUAGCCAAAGGUAAAAAUCGGAUGGGCAUUGAAAAGCUAGCAGACAGGUUCACUUUCGCAUUAAUAAGGGAUUAUUAAUAUUAUAAGUAUUGUAGAUGCUCGAUGAGUUGUAAUUUCUAAUACUUACAUAAUUUACAUAUACCUAAAUAUGAUAUAAAUAUAACUUUUAUUAAUUAUAUUAUUAAAAUAACAGGUAAAAUACAAUAGCAAAUUGUUAUCGUUUAGGUACUUAUACACCUUUCACUAAUCAGUGCCACACUUAUUGAUAGCUAUAACCAUAAACCGAUAGAUGUUGUUAUGACUUAUCAUUUAACUAGCUAA